AUAGUGUAUUAAACAAUAAAUAAGAUCGAAUAUUAGAACGAAUACUGAACAUCAAACUACUAUUGAGAAUGGUACAGUAGUACAAAUAAUAGUGACAAAUCCAUCACAAUAAAUCAAAAAUGACAAAUAAAAUUGAAGACAG
rnacentral:ribozyme from 1 species